CAAAUACACAUCACCUGAUAUGCUUAAAUCCAAUACAUUCAAGUUUAUACAGCUUGGAGUUGGAAAAUAUGCAUAAAAAUGAUGAUGUGGUCAAAAUACUCACUUGUCUAAUAAUUGUGCACACAGUGUAUAGUGCGCUCUAUCAUGGAGAAAAGAAGUGGACUAUUUUAUCCUCUAUCUUAUACAGUUAUUUUACUGUAUUAUAAGCAGAAGUGUGUUUUAAAGGAAUCCUCUCAGCAUUAUUUUCACACUGACUACUUGCAAUGUGCAGUGUGGUCUCCUUUCCUGUUACUCGGUGCUUAGUGUAAUAUAUAUAUAUAUAUAUAUAUAUAUAUAUAUAUAUAAACAGUAUCUCAUGAGUCCAUUGCCACACUCUGAAGAGUUAUUGAAUGCUAAAAAAACAAUAAUUGUAUUCUCUAUGACAAAACCCAGAGUCACAUCUAAUGUAACAGUCUUUGGCUCUCUUCAAGUUCACUUCUGUUAAUGACACUAUUUCUGUUAGUUAGCACAGUCACUUCCUGUGGGCGAGGUUGUGACAGCUUGAAACCAGAAUUCUGUGUUGAGAUACAGCACUGCAGUUCAACAUAUUUCAUAUAUAACAAGGUCCCAGUUGGAUGAGAGAGCCCAUGGAUUACAAAUUCCUGAUAUUUCUUCAUAUCUGCGGUUUCAAGCUUCUAUUAACUCAAAGUGGAAGCAUUUCUCAGAAGCAGAGUGGCGCAGUGUGGCUGUGAAGAUGGGACACGCUUUGCGCUGUGUGCUGGCGUUACUCUCACUGAAUAUACUCUAUUGUGGACAUGCUCAAGAUGCUGUGCUGAACAUUGAGCCGAACUGGUCCACUUUCUUUACCGGAGAGUCUGUUACCUUCAUGUGUGGCGUUACGGGAGUAAAAGACCCCAACUCGUAUUACAAAAUCUAUAAGGCUGAUCAACAAGAUUGUCGACUUACACCAAAAACGAGAACUUAACAUUACAACCUCUAGCUAAAGGCUGGAGUGGUGAAUACCACUGCUUGAUGUACUCAUCUGGGCUCAACUAAAGAGAGUAACAAAGUCUCUCUCACUGUAUCAGGUAAGUGAUCAAAGCUUUAUCCACCAAGUUCAAAAGAGCACUUAUUUAUUUAUGAGCCAUGUUGAUAUGAUCACCCAGUUUAGGUUAAUAUACAAUGUGUGUUUUUAUCUUGUGUAAAAACUGUUCUGAGAUUUAGGAAGCUGAAGGUUUGAGCAGCUCCACUGAUGCUGUAUAGGCAGCUGUACAACUGUAACCCGGUGCUGUUGUGUGAAGGACCAAUGAUCAUAUAAUCAUGAGCAUUACAAUGAGAAGAACAAGAUGUGCAGGGUUCAGCUGUUCACAUCAAGGCAUUUACAUAAUGAGAAUAACGCUUCACCAACAAACCAUAUGUUUUACCCCUUGUGAGAGAUGAAUACAGGACCUUCCAUUCUAGAAAUGAACCCGCCUAAUGUGCAAUGUUUCCUUAUUACUGAUAACAGUGAUGUAUCAAACAGACAGGUGAGUACGGAGCCUCCUUCAGGAAAUGUGUUCGUUCAUAACUGAGUAAACGUGUCGUGAUUUAUAUCAGUAAAAGUGUCUUCGACUUCUUCUGUCUCCAACUUAAUGUCAAAUUCUAAUUUAGUUAUAAACAUAAAUCACAGAUAUGUUGUAACAUUUGUUCACACAUGUUCAUUUAAUUGAGCUGAUUUACUAAAACAAGGAACCAUUUGUGUUACAGACAAAGACGUGAUUGUGGAAACACCUGCAUCUACCUUGUUUGAAGGAGAACCAGUGACUCUGCGCUGUAGGCAUCGUACCCCGAGAGAGGGGCAGGAUGCCGUCUUCUACAGAGACGGAUCACCUAUUGAAGUGGACACAAACCAUCAGUCACCCAUGAGAUCAACAAACACAGUUCAAGUGACGUCAGAUCGGAGCUCUUACAUGUGUAAAUUUGAGGACGAAGAAUCUGAAGCAAUAACUCUGAAAAUGGAACGUAAGUAGUUUUCAUACCACGGACCUGCAGACAUGUAGCAUUCAGAGUAAAGCACAGGGCCCAUCUGUCUGCGUUGUCUUGGAGACACUGGACACUUAAAGAACAAAAGAGAAGGCUGUUUAAAAUGUCUUCCAUUGUUAUCAGUGUGUUUGUACUUUAAUCCAUGUUCGGUUCAUUUAACCAACAACUUCAGUGGUUAAUAAGUGUGACAUAUAAGAAUAGUUGCUAUUUGUUUCCAUCAGUUUACUCUACUUUAAUAAUGUCCACAGAUUUAAAACAGGGAUUUAAUAUCUUCUACAAAUUCAUUGUAUUAUCUUUGACCUGGACUCAUUCACAGGGACAAUAAUAACCAUUUGUAUUCAUU
ensembl:lncRNA